AAGAAAUUAGUUUAAGAUGACAAAACAUUAACUUGUCAAGUUAAAGAUAUUACUGAUAUUUCUUA
rnacentral:tRNA from 1 species